rnacentral:rRNA from 1 species
UACCCGCAGCUCAAGUGGUGGUCAUUAUUAUUGGGCGUAAAGCGCGUGUAGGCGGCUUGGCAAGUCAGAUGUGAAAGCCCUCGGCUUAACCGAGGAAGUGCGUCUGAAACUGCUGAGCUUGAGUGUCGGAGAGGAUGGCGGAAUGCUUGGUGUAGAGGUGAAAUUCGUAGAUAUCAAGCGGAACACCGGUGGCGAAGGCGGCCUUCUGGACGAUGACUGACGCUGAAGCGCGAAAGCGUGGGGAGCGAACAGG